rnacentral:lncRNA from 1 species
UUCUGAAACAAAGAGAAGGUAUGGCAAGGCUCAAAAAAAAUAAAGAGAACCUUUUAAAAGAACAGAGAAAGCAUUCCAGAAGAGCUGGUUUUGACUGCUGGAGUCACUUCUCCUGGCCUGGCCCAGGGCAUGCAGGCAUACUGCAGCUAGGGAAAUGCCCUCAGUUAAAUCUGCAGGCCAGAAGCUCCAUGCAGAUGGGUGCACGUGAACAACAAGCAAAUUGUGCUUUAGAUGAGAGGGAAGUGAAGGCUCAGACUGAAUGUGAAGCAAAAGCAGCUGAGCAAAGUGCAGAAGAAAGAGAAGGGAUUGGGAGAGAUGAGAAUACAAAGGGGAGUCCUACUGCCUCAUCUCAAAUAAACUGGCCUGAACUCCUGCAACGCUAUCAUGAAACAGUAACAGAAAUGAACCUACGAGUAAGUGAGGAAAGUGUAACUCAUCAUACAGAUCCUCUAGAGGAAGCAAACAGAACUGAAGGAAGACCUAUGGAGGGUACUGUGCAAAAGGAUGUAGGUAUAGUGGACCAGCCUUUGACGGGUGAUCUCACAAACAGAGCAGAAACCCCCUUUGAAGUCCUACAAAGGCAUUCUCCACUUAAGAAUUUAGAAGGAUGCCAAAUCAGGCAGGCAGAAGGGAGUGCAGCCCCUUCAUUCAAACAGAUUCAGAAGUGGGGUCAAAUAUGUCCUGAGGAACUUGUCACAGGGAGCCAGAGCUCAGAAAGCAAAAGAGGAGUCUGUACUGGGUUUAAGAUGGUCAAUGAUAAGAUAGUAAAAAUUGCCCAUAGCUCACCGCAGGCUGUGGAGAAGAAAAGCUCAUCCCUGGCAUUCCAGCAGGGAUGGCAAAGGAACGGCACAGCCGCACCGAUGUGCCAUGUUGCAUCUUUGUCCUGUGAGUCAAGCUUCUUAUCUUCCGACAGUGAUGAUGACCUCAAAUCUCACCAUGGUUGUUAUGCCUUGAACUGUGGGGCUCAGGGGGUAGACUGUACUGGCAGGUGUUUGGAUUUCUGUGAUGGGGAUUAUGCCAGUGAUGAGCCCA